rnacentral:rRNA from 1 species
UACGUAGGGGGCGAGCGUUGUCCGGAAUCAUUGGGCGUAAAGAGCGUGUCGGUGGACUGGCAGGUCUGGUGUGAAAGCCCGGGGCUCAACCCCGGAGGGUCACUGGAAACCAACAGUCUUGAGUCCGGAAGAGGAGAGUGGAAUUCCUGGUGUAGCGGUGGAAUGCGCAGAUACCAGGAGGAACACCGAUGGCGAAGGCAGCUCUCUGGUACGUGACUGACACUGAGACGCGAAAGCGUGGGGAGCGAACAGG